rnacentral:rRNA from 1 species
UAAGACGUAGGGGGCGAGCGUUGUCCGGAUUUAUUGGGCGUAAAGCGCGCGCAGGCGGCCCGGAAAGUCGGGUGUGAAAAUUCGGGGCUCAACCCCGAACGUGCAUCCGAAACUUCCGGGCUGGAGGCAGGUAGGGGAGAUCGGAAUUCCUGGUGUAGCGGUGAAAUGCGCAGAUAUCAGGAGGAACACCGGUGGCGAAGGCGGAUCUCUGGGCCUGUCCUGACGCUCAGGCGCGAAAGCUAGGGGAGCGAACAGGAUUAGAUACCCUGGUAGUCCUAGCCGUAAACGAUGGAUGCUAGGUGUGGGGGGACAUCGACCCCCUCCGUGCCGGAGCUAACGCAUUAAGCAUCCCGCCUGGGGAGUACGGCCGCAAGGCUA